rnacentral:misc_RNA from 1 species
GGAGGUGUUCACUUCAAUCUCCGGACACGCGUUUCCUAGCUUAGUCACUAAUUUAAUGUGCAGGUAAUUAAGUAGAUCAAUUCAUUACCAAUUAAAUGCAAUCAUCAUUUAUUAAUCUUUGCAAGCUUUUGAUUGCAUUAUUAAAGCUAUUAUUAAAAUUUAAAUUCACAAUAUUCUGAAAUUGAAAUGGAUUCAAGCAGGGGAAUGGACCUGUUUUUGCAAACAUCAUACUUUUUUAAUAUGAUAGAUUAUGUUUUUGAUUUGUUAAUUUCAGUCUUGUCUCUGUUAUUACUGAUCUUAAAACUUAAAUCAGUGUAGUAGUGAUAGUUCUUUCUUUUAAUGAGACGGGACAAUCGAUCAGCAAAACAACAUAUCAGAUGAUUUUCAUGUUUAAGCCAUUUGAACUGAAAAAGAGAGUUUCCAAUAUUAUUACAGUGAACUUGCUGAAGAGAUAGAUAUACGCUUGUCUGAUUCUUAUUUCUUUACAUCCUGCAGGCAGGAGCUUGCUUCACAGUAUCACAUAAUUCUUUAGCACCCAUCUCUUUUCAUGAAUCUGAACAUAUAUGGUUCUCCAUCUGCUCCUGUCUUGCUAAAUAAAUCAUUGAUUCACAAUUUCAGAAGACACCUUUGGUUACAUUGAUAGAACCUGUAGCACCCUGAAGCCAGCACUCUCCUGUCUGAAUUCCAUAAGCUCAGUAAAUGUCUUCUCCUUGCAUAAUUUCGAUGUUGGGAAUGUGAGAGAUGUUACGCCAGUACUUUCCUGUUCCCCUUCGGUAAUGUGGAGAGAGAAUUUCGCAAUAAUUAAUUAUCAAUUCCUGCAAUGUCGUCUUUUGGAGAAGCUUGUCUGGCAAUUUCUUCAACUUUGAGCAGUUACUAACCUCCAAACGAUGAAGACGUGGCAUUAUUGUAUCUUCAUCUCCACUUAUCAUCCUAUUGUCCCACUCUUCCCACUCUUCCCACUCGGGCAUUUGUAUAAACUUCAGUUCUACCAAUCUGGGAAAUAAAACAACUGAUGAUGAUGAUGAUGAUAUAUCCUUGUCAAUUUGAGUUCCCAUUCCCAGAAACUCAGCACCCACCUUUUUCACUCCCAUACCAUUGAAGGAAAGAGAUUCGAGGGCUGGCAACUUCCCCAAAGGAGGCAAAUGUUCGCAGUUUGUACAAAAAUACAUUGAAAGAUAUCUUAGAUUAGUUAACGACAUCAUCCAACUGGGAACCAUUGUAGUACCUUGGUAGCUGGCUAUACUUAAUUCUUCCAAAUUUGAAGAUGGCUCCAACCCUUCCAUUAACUGUUGAUCGUGAAUUCCUCUUGUCCCUUCUUUAUCUUCAAAGAAACCUAGGCUCAUCAAAGUGACAUGUUUCUUCUUCUUCAGCUGUGCUUGCUUAGCCUCACCCACAUCUGCAACAUUUUCCAACCCUCUAAUCAGCAAGGAUCCUCGAAGGUUGUUCAAGUCUUUUAGAUCUCCGAGAGAAAAUGCUUCCUCAUCAUUAUGGCCAACAGUGAGUUCAUUCAUAUAGUCAAAAGUCUCCUUUAUUUCCCUAAGACUAAUCAAUUUUCCAAGUCCUUUCGGCAACACACGUUUUCUUCUGUCAUGAUACAAAUGCCUCAAGUUGAUUAACUUUCCAAUCCCCGGAGGCAGCUUCAGAGGAUUCCAAUGGACAUCUAGAGAUUGCAAAUUGUAUAAUUCACAUACUGUUUCAGGCAACUCCACCAACUCAUUUGCAGACAAGUCAAGAAACCUCAAAUGUAUUAAUUUGCCUAUUUCGGGUGGGAUUUCUCCAAUUCCACAAAGACUUAGGUCUAACGACCUCAGACAGUUUAGCUGAUUCAAUAAAUCAGGUAGGGCUGCUCUAAUCUCUGAUUGGCCAUGGGACUCGAUCAAGAGAGUACGCAGCUUUUUUAGAGAACCAAGUGAACCAGGUAAAGGGGCAUUUUUUGCUAGCACAAUCAUUGAAUGACGUGGUUCUUUACCGGAAAAAUACAUGCUCGACUCUGCAGGACCAUUGACCUCCAUACCAAGGCAUUCAUUUUGUGUAAGAAAUUGGGCAAAAUCAUGCACUAUGUCAUGCAUCUUACAUCUGAAUAUUCCACCAUCAUAUUUGUCAAAGUCUUGGAAAAAAGAGCGAACCACUAAAUUUUGGAAGUAUUCUUCACCAACCAUCUCCAUGUCUUUUCUUUUAGUUGCCUUGAGAUAUCCUUGAGCCAUCCAUAAUUCAAUUAAUCUAGACUUUAAUAUCUCGUGGUCUUUAGGGAAAAUGGCACAAUAUGAGAAACAUUGUCUCAAUGCCAUAGGCAAAUCAUAGUAGCUCAACCAUAGAGCACCUAAAAGAUCCUUUUCAGCUUCUUCUAAUUCCCAUACCUCACUGUCCAAAACACUUUGCCACUCUUCUCUAAAUUUUCUGAAGCGCAGAAGACCUCCCAGUGUCUUUGCAGCAAGAGGCAAACCCUUACACUUUUUUACAAUUUUCCUACCAAUGUCUUCUACACGUUCACAUUCUAUACUAGUCUUUCCAAAAAAUGCAAUUUGACUAAACACUGACCAACAUUCCUCCAUGGACAAUUGUCCUAUUGGGAGUAUAUCAGUGCAACCUAUGCGGGUUGCAACAUUCUCCUUGCGUGUGGUAAUCAGAAUUCUACUUCCCCGCUCACCACACUUGAAAGAAUGCAUCAAAUUUUCCCACUUUCUGGCAUCUUCAGUCCACACGUCAUCUAGGACAAGAAGAAACCUUUGUCCCUUAAUGGAUUGUUGCAUUUGCUGCAAUAAAGUUUGUAGUUCAACCGAAUUUGUUUCAGUAUCCGGGAGUGAUUCGAGGAUUGCUUUGGCAAUCCUGACCUCAUCAAAGGGAUCCGAGACACACACCCAUAUUCUCUUAUUGAAAUGGGCUGCAACUUUGCUGUCAUUGUAGACUAAUUUGGCUAGAGUUGUUUUACCAAUUCCCCCCAUCCCUACUAGGGAGAUGAUGUGGGGAUUUGGUGUUUGUCUAACCUCAGUCAACAACUUAUUUAUGAUUUCAUUUUUAUCAUUCUCCCUGCCUUUCACCUCUGCUACAUCAAUGACAGAUGCAGUGAUCUGUCUUUCAAGUUGUUCAGUGCUCUUUCUAAAGCUAAAGUUGUACCUAUCCUUCUCCUUGGCAAUAUCAUCUAAUCUUUCAUUUAGCUCUUUUAUCUUGCAAGCAAUGUCAUGACGAGGGACAACUUCUCUACGGAGAAAACGAGCAAAGGGGAUGGAAGAACAUACCUUCCUCUUAGGCUCCGGAGCUUCUUGACUUGGCUCAAUUUGGGAUUUGUAAAUUGCAGUGCUCCACUCGUCCAACACAUCGUCAAUGUCGAACGAUAUGUCUUUGAGCCUGUGUAGCCAAAGUUUCACACUGGCCUCCUUCCUUUGUCUUACAUCUGCAUCAUCAAGCACAACUUGGAUGGAUUCAAGAUUGUAUUUGAGCUUUUGGAUUUCUCGCUCAACAUCCAUAACCAAUCUCGCUUCUUGUUCAAGCCCUGAAAGAGCAAAAGAACUCAAGCGUUCCAGGAUCAUGGAAAUAACUGCAAAAGCCAUACUGAAAGGUGAAAGAGUAGCGAGAAAUAGAAAUAUCAAGGAUGCUUAUGCAACGAUAUGGCUCCUAUGCUUUCAAAUUUAUAGUACUACCAUAGAUAUGAGAGAGCCAAAUAAUCAUUCAUAUUAGACUAAUGCAUAAGCUUCUUUUUCUUUUGUUUCUUUUUAUUCUUUCGGUGCUCUACUUUUGUAUCUUUCCAAUAUAUCCCCACCAAUUUUACCACUAUCUUAA